CGUGCUAAAUGCUUUGCAUCUUUUGCAUCUCAUUUAAUCCUCUCAUCCACUUUAGCUCUAUAUUGUAGAUAGGCUGAGGCUCCCCCAAGUAGAGACUUGCCUGAAGGGGCCUGACUCCAAAGCAGGACCAGCAGAUAGACACGCAGCCCUGUGGGAAUGAUGCCCCUGGAGUUGCGUGAUACAGCAGCCCCAGGAGAAGGAGGAAAGAGAAAAAUUUUGAUGCUGAUGGAGUCCAUAGAUUUCAAUAUGCUUUUGAGUCUUUAAUACACAGAGGAACUAGAAAUCAAGAAAUUACCAGUGACUGCAUAGCAACCCGACUCCUAGGAGGUCAAAGGAAGGAAGGAUCUAAAAAAGAAAAGAAGGGAACAAAACCCCAAGGUGUCUCUUAAGGAAACAGGCUUGGUGCGAAGUCCCCAGGAAAAUCCCCUGCUUGGAGUGUUUGUCCGGCACAGGAGAGGACGAGGGAGGAGAGGGGUCCUCGGCUCGCAUAGCUAACUGCAAGCUGGAGGAAGAGGAAAAGAACAUGAUUAGCAUGUUUCUCUCCUCUCUAUGAAGAUGGCAGAAGCAGGCAAUCUGCUGUUUGUGCAGAAGGGGCACAGGGAAGGAGAGAAGCGUGCAUCUGUUCUGAGAAACUGCUGUUUAAAAAUGCAAGAAGCCCACAAAGCAAAGGAGGAAAUCACCAUUGUGCAGGCCACUGGCUCUGCAAACAGGGGAGAAGCGGAGAGGCACAGGCUGAGGAAGCCUCUGAAUCCGCGCCCGGGCUGUGGAGUCCCGUGGAGGGCUGGCCCCUCUUACCCUCAGAGCAGAGGCUCUUGGCAGCGGUCUCUAGCUGUGAUCUCUGACUAAGGAACAUCCUCCAUAAGGACAGACACGCCACCUCCUGCUGCAGCCAGCCGUCGUCACCGUACUGCCCUGUGCUGCCCAGUUUUACAAUGAAUAAGCAAAGCUUCCCAGCCAGAGAAUGAGUCACGGUCUCCACCCUCGCACCUCCUCCUCCGUUCUCUGCCCGAGGGGUGAUGCUGACUGUUUCUGAUGGAAAAUAAGGGGAGCCAAGAUCUCCAGUGGAUGAUGUCACUGUGAGCCCCAAAGUCUGAGAGGUCCCCACGCCUCUGGAGGAGUCAGGGAACACAUUCAAAAAAGCCAGCCUGACCAAAUAUCUGAGGCCCUGGAAGUUGGUCUGGCCUCUAGAGCCUCCCUCUUUUGGGGGAUGGGGUCAGGAGGAAGGUCCCCUGUCACACACCUCUAGGGGCUUUGGAUAUGCAAAUCCACCACUUAAAAGGCUGCUUGUCAGAACUGAUGUAGCCUGACCCCACAUCUUGUAGGUACUUUUCUGAUGGCAUUUCUAUUCCACCUUGGUUUAUUUGUAGACCGGACUAGACAGUAAGCAUGUGUGGACAGCAGUCAUCUUUGCAUUCCUGGUGUUAGUGAGCCCAAUGCUAUUCUGAUAGUGGGUACUUAAUAGUUAUUUAAAUUGGUGAGUAAUUGGCUCUCAGAUCUUGCCCCUCUCCCAGUUAACGUAGAUCAGCAUUGUAAACAGCAACAGAAAAUUGAACAAUCUUCUUUCCUGAGUCUCAGGGGUCUUUAUCCCCCUAUUCAUAUGGAAGAGAGGAUCAUUUUCAAACCUAUUUUCUCAUAGCAAAAUGAGAGUAAUAAUAGAACCUUCUCUCAAGGAUGUAAUGAGGUCAGGCAUGUAAAACAGCACCAUACCUAAUGCUAGCUGUUUUAUUGUUAUUAUUAUCAUCAUCAUCAUUACUUAGAUUGUUAAUUCUAAGGUGAAGCAUAUUUUCUGCAGCUAUUCUGUGAGCAGGAUGGGAGCCCCUGGCUCUCCCCUAUGAAAGAGAGCAGAGCACGGUGCAAGUGUGGCUGGUGUAGAAAGGAGCCCAGUGACAGUCAUACCCACACUCCAUCGGCUCCCUGGCAGCCAUCUCUCCAUGCCUAAGCGUUUGCAUUUCAUAGCCUGUCUGCAAAUCCAGUGGUAUCCAUGCACCCAUAUCUUUCCCUCUCCUACCGCUCUGGCCAGACAUUACCAAUUCCUUGAAAGAAGUACCGCCUGCAGCCCCUCCAUGGGCUUGGAUGGAUGCUUCCAUCUGCUUUUGGUUUGCUUUUUAGGUCAAGACACUUUAUUCUUAGGCUCCAGGCUGGGGAGAGUAUUCGCAAUGGCAGAGGAGAGACCUACUGGUGUACCUGCAUCUGUGAAGCCACAUCACCCACAGCAGGCCCUGAGCUGCUUCUCUUGCCUGUGAAGUCCAAGAGACAAGAGGUCAGCCAGCAUGACUUUGCUUUAUGACCUGCCUUGCAAGAGAGGCCUUCUCUGAACUGCAUUUUAAUGCUGUGUCCUAGUCUUUUAAAAUCAAGGGUUAAUGUAAUAACAUUCAUUUAAAGAAUGUUUAUGUGUCUUCUAUAUAAUCAUCACAGACCAUAGUAUUAUUAAUUGCUGGUGCUAGUACUCUCAGUCCUGGUGCUAGUACCAAUAUCUUACAUGUGCAAUGUGUUCUGUACGUUACCACCCACGUUAUCAAUGAGGAAAGGUGGUGAGAGGGGUGAAGUGAUGCUGUUGAUGGAGCUGGGGUCCAGGGCCCCUGGGUUGGAGCUCCAUGUCCUGCACUGGCUAGUGUGUUGUUCUAGUUUAAUGAACCAUACAAUAAAGUCCUCUAAGUAUAA